CUUGUCAUGAGCUGCCAAAGCUAUGGAAGCCUCUUGAAUUCAGCAACUCUGAUCUUAUUUAGGCAAGGCCAUAAUCAAAGUGGAAGUUCUCUCCUCCCUUCAGAGAAAGGUUACUGAUGGAAGAGCCUAAAGGAAAAUGUAGGUCAAGUGCUUUUAUCCUCUGCAACUUGCACAAGAGCAAUCACAAAAUCACAGUGACUGGCCCUGAUUUUCAGUGAUGGAAAGUGAAAGAUAAUAGGCGAGAAAGCAACACACAUGUAUUCAUUAUCAAGAGAGAAGCAGCUUUCUAAACUCAUCCUGAAAUUGAAGAAGAGAUCCUGAGUCUGCCGAUAUCCUUGGACUUCAUAUCAUAUGGCCACAACUGCUGGAGCUGUGCCAAUCUGAAGCCAGGAGCCAGAAGCUUCUUCCGAGUCUCCCAUGUGGAUGCAGGGGCUCAAGGAUUUGGGCCAUCUUCUACUGCUAUCCCAGGCCACAGCAGAGAGCUGGAUCAGAAGAGGAGCAGCCAAGACUAGAACCGGUGCCCAUAUGGGAUGCGAACACUUCAUGCCAGGGCUUUAACCCGCUGUGCCACAGCACAGACCCCUCUAUAUCAUUCUUAUAAUGCAUUUUGGUAUUAAGAAAGAUGUUAAAGUUUAGUAUUUUCCUGAGUGAUGCACUGAAGUUUAGCACCUUUCUGCACAUUUGUUGUAAACUUGGCUUCUUAAUUUGUAAAAUGCUUGUUUUAAGGGUUUUACCUAAGUUUUUAUUGGUUUAUCUGGCUUCUAAGGAGUUUUCUUCAUAUAAAAUUUCGAUAAAAGUCCUGUAUCAGCUAUAUGUAUUGCAAAUAAAGUUUUCUGUUCUAUAGCUUUUCAUUUUUAAAUGUCUUUUGAAAAAGGCAAAAUUAUGACCAUAAUUUUAACAUCACUGAGUUUAUUAAUAUUUUUCUUUGUGGUUACUGCUUUUUGUGUUUUGUUUAAGAAAUCCCUUCCUGUCAAGGGCAUUAAUAUAUUAUUCCCUAUUAUCUUUUAAAAGCUUUAUGGCUUUGCCUUUCACAUUUAGGUUUUUAAUCUACCUGGAAUUGAUUUUUUUGUACAGCAUGAAUGCUUUUGCUAUUAUGCCAUCAUUUCUAAAAAUCAAAUGUACUCAAGGUCACCAUUACCAUUUAGUUUAUUCAGCUACAGUUGUGGGAGUGCUAGCAUGAUGUAGAAUGAUGCUGAGUGAAGUGGGACAGUCUGUUCUUUUUAAGAAACCAAUAAUUAUGCUGUUAACUGAGUAUCAGAUAAAAUGUAAGUGUUUUAUGUAUAUAACCUGAAAAAAAAAACCCUCAUUUUUAUAAGAAAUCAAUUAAGGGUUAAAGAGAUUAAGGAAGUUGGCUAAGGUUACAUAGUAGUAUAAAUUGAAAAGGAUUUAACCUUUCACAAUUUAAUCCAAAAGCUUCUGCUAUUUAUAUCUAUCUAAAUAUAUAGUUUUUGUGUUGACCCAUUAUUUUUUUUCUUUUCCAUGUCUUUAAUAUGAAAUUUGGAUUUUCCUAGAAUUAUUAACCAUCUUUGAGUCCUACUCUACGCGUUGCUUAUACUCAAAGUCCCCUCACUUUCCUUCUGUUCUCUAGUGUUGUUUUCAAAUAGUCCCAUUUGAAGAGUUGUGCUUAUUUUUCUGUUUACUUCAUAUUAUCAUUGAACAAAAAAGUGGUUUAUUCAAGAAUUAUAGAAAGUGGGCAAUUUUGUAGAAUUUAAAUGCUUAUUAUAAAUGCAGAGUCUCUAGAACCUGGAUCAGAAUUGGGUAGUUUUGUGUGUUGGAAUCAUUGAAGUUUCUGCCAGGUUUCCAUAUAAUCCAAAAUGGGAGUUGCUGAACAAAGAAGGCAAGAUUUUAAGUCCCCCAUUCCACACAAACACCUCACAUCAGCUUUAGCCAAAGACAGUAUGGUUUAUGUGAUGAGGUUUUUGGACUACCAUACAUAAUUUCAUUUGAAUGAAAGUUUUUUAUUUGAAACAUAUCUGAAAAUACUCAUUGUGUUGAAUAAUUUAACAUCUAAUAUUGUGCCCUCAACUCUUCAAUUAUAUAAAAAUAUGAUUA